UGUGGACCAGCCUUUGUUAAUCAGUAGUGUAGAUCACGUGUCAAACUCAAGGCCCGGGGACCAAAUCCGGCCCCUUUCCAAAUUUUGAUCCAGCCCGCAUAUCACUUUAGGUUUUUCAGCAA